GAAAAAAAAAAAAAAACUAAGCUCUCUCUCUAAACUAAAGAGAGAAGCUUUCGAAGAGAACAAGUGUUACAAUAAAGAUAUAAUUGAUUAAAAGCCUUAAAUUGGCAUUGAGAAGAUCAUAAAAUUUGUUUGGGUCAAUCAAGCAAAUACCUCCUCACUAAGCAAUGUGCCGCCUAGUUUUUCAUCAAACAUUUUCCAUGUCUCUCUUCAGAUGGAUUAUUAUAUCCAAGAUGAC
rnacentral:misc_RNA from 1 species